CUGGUACCUCUGCCCAGAACUUAAAGACGGUCACUCUACAAAAAACUAAGAAGGCAACGGCGGCAGCAAAAGCAAUUUGCAAUAGAAAAAAUAAAAAUAUAAAACACGUCGGAGAGAGUGGUGCUUGGCUGACGGACCAGGGCGUGUGACAGCGAGUGCAAGUGAUAAAUUCAUUGACAGCCGCAGACACCGAGAAAUACAAUCACAAUGAGCGCACCUGGCAUGGAUAAGAGGAAACUCUCCACAUCUGGCGAUUCACUUUACGAGAUCCUGGGACUUCCUAAAACAGCCACCGGAGACGACAUCAAAAAGACAUACCGAAAACUCGCACUUAAAUACCACCCUGACAAGAACCCCGACAACGUUGAUGCUGCCGAAAAGUUCAAGGAGGUGAACCGAGCGCAUUCGAUAUUGAGCGAUCAGACAAAGCGUAACAUUUACGACAACUAUGGAUCCCUUGGCCUGUACAUAGCCGAGCAGUUUGGCGAGGAGAACGUCAAUGCGUACUUCGUGGUAACGUCACCGGCAGUGAAGGCAUUGUUCUUCUGCUGUGCCAUAGUUACUGGAUGCUGCUGUUGUUGUUGCUGCUGCUGCUGCUGCAACUUCUGUUGUGGCAAGUUCAAGCCGCCGGUAAACGAGUCGCACGACCAGUAUGCACAUCUGAAUCGCUCCGAUGGCCAUCGAGAGGCCAGCGAUCUGCCACCACCCCUGGGACAAAAGCCACGUCUUGAGGACGUUGAUCUGGACGACGUGAAUCUUGGAUCGGGAGGCGCCCCUGUUACAUCACAGCCGCGGGAGCAGGCCGGCGGACAGCCUGUCUUCGCCAUGCCGCCUCCAAGUGGAGCAGCCGUGGGUGUCAACCCCUUCACCGGCGCCCCUGUGGCGGCCAACGAGAACACAUCGCUAAACACCACGGAGCAGACCACCUACACACCAGGUCUGCAGCAGCCGUUUUUCAAUCCGCUCUAUUGAGGGCCAUCUGAAAACUAAUAUCGAAGUGUUCCCUAGUUUUAGUUGCAAGCUCGGUUGUACUGGACCAUGAAGCUAUUUACAUUUGAGUGCGUCAUCAAAACAUGAAGAAACACUGCCAUGAUUGUACAUUUAAUUUGUUCUAAACAUGGUCAAUCAGAAAUAUUAGCCAAGUGCGGCGAUCGAUUCAAGUCCCAAGUGCAUGCGUAUGUAACGAUACUGAUACUGACACAGAUAUAAACAAAAAGAUUUAAGUUGCAACUGAAUGGAAAACCAGAUUAAUUUAUGAUUAGAUUUGUUUUAAGGAUGAGCGAUAUGUUGAAGCGAGAUAACAUAAAAACCAAUGUAUUUAUAGUAAGCGAUAGCUCUUAGCUUUAAUUUUAAACAGUCUUACCACGGCGCUUGCGGCAACCGAUGCAGGCGGUAGUCAGGUUGAUCUUGGGCCGCCCCUCGAUAUCGUUUCUACUAUCCCAUGGUUAAAGGCUGCUACUCAGCAAGCCGCCCAAAAUCGUGAGCCUAAGUGGGGCUUACCAAAUAUCACCAAAACCGAUCAACUGUACUAAAUACACGAUUCUGGCUCUUUUAAAUUGUUAAUCGUCGGCUGUUUCAGACAUUUGCUUGGGAAACGAUCACGGGGGUGACGUGGAUAGGACGGAGUAGUGCACGCCCUCCUGUGGAAUCGACUAUACAAGAAGCACUGUAUGUUAAUUAUCUUAUGUAUAUGAUGUCUGUACCUAGCUCGCAUUUGUGUCAUCCUCUGUCUAGUGUAGCUAAAUCAUGCGCGAAGCCUAUUUUUCACCCAUUGUUUCUGUUAGUUUCCAAUUAAUUGUUACAGCAAGGGCCCUGUCAUGUAAAGAAAUCUUAAGCGGCGCUUCAAGCUGAUUGUUCCGAUCCGAUCCUAAUGCAAAUGUAAAUAAGUCAAGUUAAACAAUUAAGCAUUAUAAACUAAAAAAGGGCUCCCAAAAGUUGAGGGGGCCCGAUAAAAAAUAACUAAAAUUGAAACCAAUUUAACUUAUUAUAAUAUUCCCCAUUUAUGUAUUCAAAAGUAUAUAUAUAUAAAUCUUAAAUACGAGUAUUCAAAGUUCAAUUGUAACCCGUAAAUAUAGCACGUACACGUACAUAUAUUCCAAUAUUGUUUCUAAAUUAAAUUGUCCUUGAUUUGUUAACCUGUUAGCGCGCUUUUAAAUGUAAAUGAAUGCGAUUAGUCCUGCUGUAUUAAAUUUUAUAUUCCUACUACCAACCAUUUUAUUCAUAAUUAUCAAUUAUUGCCUGGCGGGGCUGUGGAGGUCUUGGCCAGGGUUCAGUUUAGUCGCCCGUUUCGAUCUUCUGAAUAAUCUUGAAUAUACAAUUCAAUUAAUAGUAUUUACAAUUUCCGGAUUGCGUGUAUAUUUAUUGUUCAUACAAGUCAAGAGUAAACCUACUAAGUAAUCUACGUAAAAAAAUUUAAAAUUGUUUUCAAAUUGCGAUUGUACUCUGGUAAAAAACGAAGAACUCGAGAUCAAUAAAUUGACCAUACGAA